rnacentral:rRNA from 1 species
AUGGCUACGGCGGCGGCAGAGCGGACGCCAGUGUUCAUGGUGGUGGGAGAUCUCAGGCCCGGGACGUCGACCGGCCACACGCUUCUCCUUAAGGUGCUAAGCUCCAAAGAUCAAGACCGAGACCAAGACCGUGUUGACAUGCUGAAGCCCGGCAACACCGUUAUUCUUUGGGAUGCAAAGCUUGGCAUGCCCAAGGGGAUAAUGAAGCUAGCUGUUGACAAACGGGGGCUUGUUGAAGUCACUGAACCGGCAAGCUUCGAUGUGAAGGAGGACAACAAUUUCUCACUUGUGGAGUACGAGUAUGUACAGGUCUACGUGUAA